AAGACCUGGCUGUAUGGACUAAAGUCCUUUGCCUUUCCCAUUAGGGAUAAAUUGAGAAAAAAAAAUUUGGUACAAACAACAACAUAGCAUUAUAGGAGUUGAAUGAAUAAAAAUAUUAAAUAGCCUAAAAUUGAGCCACAAUUUUCAAAGGAAGUAUUAAUAUACAAUAACAAUGGCAUUUGGUAAUAAAAACCCGAAAUCUGUUUUAGAAUAUUAUGUACACUUAUAUACCAUGAAAAAAUUAAGUAAAGAAAAGCAUGGCAGAAAAAUUAGAAAAGUAAGCUUAAAUAUGUGUUUUAUCCGUAGUAGUCCGUCUCGUGGAGGUGCUGCACCUGGACGGUGAAGUGCACUAUUAAGACUAUAAAAACUUAAUAACGGAAGCUACUAUAUCCUGGUUAAAAUUGAAUUCAAAGAAAAAGCAAAUAAUAACAACACGAUUUCAAAGUCAACAACUUAAGUUAAAGAAAAAAUUUGCAGAGAAGCUUAAAACUGUGGAACCAGUUUCGAAGAAAAUAUUGAGACAGGCUGAGGUAAAUAACUCAAUAUCAAAUUUAUUGAAUUCCUCUAUUGAGGAUGUUCCAAAAUAUAUUGAUAAUGAGUGUGAAGAUUUAACCAAAUGCAAUAAAAGCAUAACAUCAAAUUCUUUACAACCACCUAUUUAUGAGCCUGAAAAGCAAGAAAAUGGCUUAAUUCAACAACUUCCAGCUUUGAUGCUUGAACCAACUCCACCUGCCUUUAGGACAAAUAAAGACUUUUAUAAUCUACUAAAUAAAAGUUCUGAAAAUAUAAUACCAUGGGAUGCACUUUCAAGAGGGGUAAAAGGUCAAUAUGAAAGAGCUGCCACAAGAAUAAGAAGAAAUUAUAUUCAAUCUUACACAAGCUUCUUAGAAACUCUAACCCCUAUUGAACUUUUUAAUCAUUAUAAGAAUGUGACUGAUGUUUAAUAAAAUGUUUUUAGUUAUGA